UUUAUUGCCGUUCAUCAAUGGCAGCUGUCACAGUUGCUAGGCGACAAGCAAUGCUCCGUAGGCUAGACCGUCCCAUUUUAUGGUACGGUGUUGCCUCCAGGCAACAUGGUCUAUUUUAGUUUGUUUUUAAUAAAAUAAAGCACAAAUUGAUUGAUCAAGCAUAUCUCAGGACAGAAUAACUCAAAUACUAAUCAAUAAAAGUGCAAAAAUGACCAAAACAUGACCAACAGGGGUCCAUUUUGUGUCCUGUUUCAGCACAUGUGCACAUGUCACAUUGUAACAGUUCUGUCACAUUAGUCCCAGUAGAUUACCUAAUGUUAUAGCUAACCCAAUCAGUAGGGGGCGAUCUGGAGUCUGAGUUGGCUGACUGCCUAAAAGGGCUAGAGAAGACGUAUUGGGCAGGAAGUAGUGUGCUAAGCACAUUGGAUGUCUUCUCACCUUUGUUUGCUGUCCUUUGUUGGUGCCCUGAUUUAAGGAACAACUUGUUCCUAUUCUCAAAUAGGGUUUCUUGUGUGCAAGGAUCAGCUCAAUUUCAAACAGGACAUAGACCAAAGGGACUAAUUGUCUUCGUUCAUCUAACAACCAUCUGCUAACCAUCUCAUUGACUGUGGUCAACGACUGAUGAAUUUGCUGAUAUGGAUUUAUUUCACUUCACUUGAGGACUUUUGUCUCGCACAUUCACCUUUGAAGACUGAUCUGUGGCUGAAUACUACUUAUUGCUGUACCUAUGAACUGAUGGACUUUCCAACUGAUGGUGUUUCUCAGACUGUGGUGCUGGAAUAGACUUGUUGAUGCUGAUGUAUUGCUCGCAAUAUGCAUUGAAUACACAUGGGUCGUAGAAAGGUA